ACAGUCAUCCAGAAUGACAAUGUGCAGAACAUUUAGGAGUCAGUCUCGCAGAUAAGUGUUAGUCCCACGCUGGGAAGUGGUUCCUUGCAGGAUAAUGAGCUACAGCACAGAUGGUCAAGAGCAGCAGAGCUGAGAGAGGAGGGGAAGAAGUUAAAAGAAGUUCCUUAUUGACCAAGGUUCAGAGCUGGACCAGGCUGGCAGAAGUAGACUCCCUGAUCCAGGAACGAAGGGAAGAGCAUUAUUUCACAAGCAGGCGCCUUUCUGCCUGUUCACAGGGAGGCUCGGGUGUUAGGAUGACUCCCAGGUGGAGAGUCCUGGCACUUCGGUUAUGGUCAAGAUCACUGGAGACCGUUGGUGGGAGUUUGCUGAGAUGUGAAUGGGAGUCAAGUUUCAUCUUCUGAGCCAGCUUUCUUCUCCCGCUUCAUUCUACUCUGUGUUGGUUUCCUUCAUAAGAUACAUCAGAAAUACAUCUACACGUGGAACUGCUCCUACAGAACACCCACUGAACGCUGGCAGAAGACCUCAGACCUCCCACAAGGC